CAGGACGAACGCUGGCGGUGUGCUUAAUACAUGCAAGUCGAACGGCCCUUCGGGGCAGUGGCGGACGGCUGAGUAACGCGUAGGUAACGUACCUUUUACUGGGGGAUAACAUCGGGAAACCGGUGCUAAUACCGCAUAAGUCACGAGUUGAAAUACUUGUGAUUAAAGAAUUUCGGUAAAAGAUCGGCCUGCGUCUGAUUAGCUAGUUGGUAGGGUAAAGGCCUACCAAGGCGAUGAUCAGUAGUUGGUCUGAGAGGAUGACCAGCCAGAGUGGGACUGAGAACGGCCCACACUUCUACGGAAGGCAGCAGUAGGGAAUUUUGCGCAAUGGGCGAAAGCCUGACGCAGCAACACCGCGUGCGGGAUGAAGGCCCUUGGGUUGUAAACCGCUGUCGGCAGGGAAUAAAUUGACUGUACCUGCAAAGGAAGCACCGGCUAACUACGUGCCAGCAGCCGCGGUAAGACGUAGGGUGCAAGCGUUGUCCGGAUUUAUUGGGCGUAAAGAGUUCGUAGGCGGUUACCUAAGUCUGAUGUUAAAGCCUGUCGCUCAACGACAGUAUGGCAUUGGAAACUGGGUGGCUAGAGUGUGGUAGAGGUUACGGGAAUUCCUGGUGUAGCGGUGAAAUGCGUAGAUAUCAGGAGGAACACCUGUGGCGAAAGCGCGUAACUGGACCAUAACUGACGCUGAGGAACGAAAGCUAGGGUAGCAAAAGGGAUUAGAUACCCCUGUAGUCCUAGCCGUAAACGAUGGAUACUAGGUGUUGGAGGAUUCGACCCCUUCAGUGCCGUAGCUAACGCGAUAAGUAUCCCGCCUGGGGAGUACGA
rnacentral:rRNA from 1 species